rnacentral:rRNA from 2 species
GACAGAGGGGGCAAGCGUUGCUCGGAAUUACUGGGCGUAAAGGGCGCGUAGGCGGGACGGAAAGUCGGUCGUGAAAUCCUCCGGCUCAACCGGAGAACGGCGAUCGAUACUUCCGUUCUUGAGGGUUGCAGAGGAGACUGGAAUUCCCGGUGUAGCGGUGAAAUGUGUAGAGAUCGGGAGGAACACCGGUGGCGAAGGCGGGUCUCUGGGCAACUCCUGACGCUGAGGCGCGAAAGCGUGGGGAGCAAACGGG